GCCUGCCCAGUGACUCUUUAAACGGCCGCGGUAUCCUAACCGUGCAAAGGUAGCAUAAUCACUUGUCCCUUAAAUCGGGACUGGAAUGAACGGCUAAAUGAGGACUAAACUGUCUCUUACAGGCUAGCCAAUGAAAUUGAUUUUCCAGUACAAAAGCUGGAAUAUAACCACAAGACGAGAAGACCCUGUGGAGCUUAUAAACCAAAUUCACCAAACAUGUUUUAUCGGUUUUCAGUUGGGGCGACUUCGGAGUACAAAAUAACCUCCAAACAUAAAACUAAUUAAGAACAACACAUCAAAAUAUAUUUUAAUGACCCAGCAACCCUUAUGGUUGUCUGAUUAAUGAACCAAGUUACCCCAGGGAAUAACAGCGCCAUCCCCUUCUAGAGUCCCUAUCGACAAGGGGGUUUACGACCUCGAUGUUGGAUCAGGACACCCCAAUGGUGCAGCCGCCAUUAACGGUUCGUUUGUUCAACGAUUAAAGUCCAACGUGAU
rnacentral:rRNA from 1 species